rnacentral:rRNA from 1 species
AGUGAACGCUGGCGGUAGGCCUAACACAUGCAAGUCGACGGCAGCACAGUAAGAGCUUGCUCUUACGGGUGGCGAGUGGCGGACGGGUGAGGAAUACAUCGGAAUCUACUUUUUCGGGGGGGAUAACGGAGGGAAACUUACGCUAAUACCGCAUACGACCUACGGGUGAAAGCAGGGGAUCUUCGGACCUUGCGCGAUUGAAUGAGCCGAUGUCGGAUUAGCUAGUUGGCGGGGUAAAGGCCCACCAAGGCGACGAUCCGUAGCUGGUCUGAGAGGAUGAUCAGCCACACUGGAACUGAGACACGGUCCAGACUCCUACGGGAGGCAGCAGUGGGGAAUAUUGGACAAUGGGCGCAAGCCUGAUCCAGCCAUACCGCGUGGGUGAAGAAGGCCUUCGGGUUGUAAAGCCCUUUUGUUGGGAAAGAAAAGCAGCAGGUUAAUACCCCGCUGUUCUGACGGUACCCAAAGAAUAAGCACCGGCUAACUUCGUG